rfam:Octopus bimaculoides Scaffold81701_contig_47, whole genome shotgun sequence.
GCAUGUUGCUUAGUGGUUAGGGUAUUUGGCUCACAAUCAUAAGAUUGUGAGUUCGAUACUCAGCAGCAUGUU